UGCCCCUUAUCUCAGUCUUGGUAGAGCAUCUGCCUUGCAUACAGAAUAUUCCAGGUUCAAUCUCCAGGUAGGGAUAG